rnacentral:tRNA from 1 species
GCCUGGGUGGCUCAGUCAGUUAAGCAUCUGACUUUGGCUCAGGUCAUGAUCUCACGGUUUGUGGGUUCAAACCCCACAUCAGGCU